UAUAGGGGGGUGCAAACGUUGCUCGGAAUCAUUGGGCGUAAAGCGCACGUAGGCGGUUUGUUAUGUCGGAUGUGAAAGCCCCUUGGCUCAACUGAGGAAGUGCAUCCGAAAACUGGCAAGCUAGAGUACUAAAAGAGGGUCGCGGAAUUCCCGGUGUAGAGGUGAAAUUCGUAGAUAUCGGGGAGGAACACCGGUGGCGAAGGCGGCGACCUGGGUAGAUACUGACGCUGAGGUGCGAAAAGCGUGGGGGAGCAAACAGG
rnacentral:rRNA from 1 species